rnacentral:rRNA from 1 species
UGGGGAAUAUUGGACAAUGGGCGCAAGCCUGAUCCAGCCAUGCCGCGUGAGUGAUGAAGGCCUUAGGGUUGUAAAGCUCUUUCGGCGGGGAAGAUAAUGACGGUACCCGCAGAAGAAGCCCCGGCUAACUUCGUGCCAGCAGCCGCGGUAAUACGAAGGGGGCUAGCGUUGCUCGGAAUCACUGGGCGUAAAGCGCACGUAGGCGGAUCUUUAAGUCGGGGGUGAAAUCCUGGAGCUCAACUCCAGAACUGCCUUCGAUACUGGGGAUCUUGAGUCCGGGAGAGGUGAGUGGAACUCCGAGUGUAGAGGUGAAAUUCGUAGAUAUUCGGAAGAACACCAGUGGCGAAGGCGGCUCACUGGCCCGGUACUGACGCUGAGGUGCGAAAGCGUGGGGAGCAAACAGGAUUAGAUACCCCCGUAGUCC